rnacentral:rRNA from 1 species
AUUUCAUAAAUGGCCGCGGUACUUUGACCGUGCUAAGGUAGCGCAAUCAAUUGGCUUUUAAUUGGAGCCAGGUAUGAAUGGAGUCACGGGGUUUAGCUGUCUCUUAAUUAAUAUAUCGAAGUUACUAUGUAGGUGAAAAAGCCUACUACAAGAAAAAGGACGAGAAGACCCUUAGAGUUUCACUUWAGAUAGAUUAUUUCUAUACAGUUUAGUUGGGGCAACUUAGGAACAAGAUUUAAUUUCCUUAAUAUAAUCAACCGAUUUUUAUAAAUUUGAAUAAACUACCUUAGGGAUAACAGCAUAAUUUUAUUAAUAAGUUUGUGACCUCGAUGUUGGACUAGGAAACUGAAAGGCUAGCCGCCUUUUAGGUAAGUUCUGUUCGAACUAUUAUUCCU